UUGGGUGUUAACCCGCACGCGUAAUGAAAGUGAACGUAGGUGAGAGCUUCGGCGCAUCAUCGACCGAUCCUGAUGUAUUCGGAUGGAUUUGAGUAGGAGCGUUAAGCCUUGGACCCGAAAGAUGGUGAACUAUGCUUGGAUAGGGUGAAGCCAGAGGAAACUCUGGUGGAGGCUCGCAGCGGUUCUGACGUGCAAAUCGAUCGUCAAAUCUGAGCAUGGGGGCGAAAGACUAAUCGAACCAUCUAGUAGCUGGUUACCGCCGAAGUUUCCCUCAGGAUAGCAGUGUUGUUCUUCAGUUUUAUGAGGUAAAGCGAAUGAUUAGGGACUCGGGGGCGCUUUAUAGCCUUCAUCCAUUCUCAAACUUUAAAUAUGUAAGAAGCCCUUGUUACUUAAUUGAACGUGGGCAUUCGAAUGUACCAACACUAGUGGGCCAUUUUUGGUAAGCAGAACUGGCGAUGCGGGAUGAACCGAACGCGAGGUUAAGGUGCCGGAGUGGACGCUCAUCACACACCACAAAACGCGUUAGUACAUCUUGACAGCACGACGCUGGCCAUGGAAGUCGGAAUCCGCUAAGGACUGUGUAACAACUCACCUGCCGAAUGUACUAGCCCUGAAAUGGAUGGCGCUCAGCGUCUCAUCCAUACCUCGCCCUCAUGGUAGAAAGAUGCCUGAGGAGUAGGCAGCCGUGGACGUCAUGACAAACCUAAGGAUGAGCC
rnacentral:rRNA from 1 species